rnacentral:lncRNA from 1 species
UUCUUUACUUUCAUGCUAUUGAACAAGGAAUCAAUAAACUUACUAAACAAAUCUUAUAUCACAUUUAUCAAUUUUCAUGUAAAUUAUUACCCUUGUAUAUAAAGCAUGAAAAUAAAAUACUUAUCUUGGUAAAAAGUGCAAAGGAGAUGAGAAUUUGAAUUGCUCAUGUAUCUUGGUUGGAUUUAAUUUUACAUGAUCUCUUCUCUUUUAAAGAGGAUAAAUAAUUCUGAAAUACUCAAAAUUUGCUCAUAUAAAUAUGGCUAACGUAUUAGUAAACAUCAAUAUAUAACAUAGACCAUAUUAAAUAGUGAUAAUUCAUUCGAAAAAAAAUCUACUUAAAUCAAGCGUAUAUAUAAUUACUAUAAAAAUCAUUCGAGCAUUAAGCAGAAUGUGCAAACCAACGGUUUCUAAACCCGAUGAAAACCAAAACUAUUACCAUAUCAUGUGAUGUUCCAAGUAAAAUAGAAAUAAUAUAUUACAUGCACUCA